rnacentral:rRNA from 1 species
AGAGUUUGAUCCUGGCUCAGAACGAACGUUAGCGGCGCGCCUAACACAUGCAAGUCGAACGCGACUGGGGGCAACUCCAGUUGAGUGGCGCACGGGUGAGUAACACGUAGGUAAUCUCCCCCCGAGUGGUGGAUAACCUUCCGAAAGGAGGGCUAAUACAGCAUAAGACCACGGUCUCGAAAGAGACUGAGGUCAAAGCG